rnacentral:tRNA from 1 species
GCUUCUUUGGCCCAGUGGUAAGGCGUCUCACUCGUACUAUGUUCCGGGACUAUGAGAAGGUAAGUCGACUGCUGCUCAACCGAGUGAGAACUAUGCUGAUAUCCCCACGGAUCAAGAGUUCAAUUCUCUUAAGAAGCA